AUACGGAGGGUGCGAGCGUUAAUCGGAAUUACUGGGCGUAAAGCGUGCGUAGGCGGCAUGGUCAGUCGGAUGUGAAAGCCCCGGGCUCAACCUGGGAAUUGCAUUCGAUACUGCCAGGCUAGAGUAUGUUAGAGGAAAGUGGAAUUCCCGGUGUAGCGGUGAAAUGCGUAGAUAUCGGGAGGAACAUCAGUGGCGAAGGCGACUUUCUGGAUCAAUACUGACGCUGAGGUACGAAAGCGUGGGGAGCAAACAGGAGUAGAAACCCGAGUAGUCC
rnacentral:rRNA from 1 species